UACAGAGGUCUCAAGCGUUGUUCGGAUUCAUUGGGCGUAAAGGGUGUCGUAGGUGGCGCCGGUAAGUCGGGUGUGAAAUUCGAUGCUUAACUCCGAAACUGCAUUCGAUACUGCGGUGCUUGAGGACUGGAGAGGAGACUGGAAUUCAUGGUGUAGCAGUGAAAUGCGUAGAGAUCAUGAGGAAGACCAGUGGCGAAGGCGGGUCUCUGGACAGUUCCUGACACUGAGACACGAAGGCCAGGGGAGCAAACGGG
rnacentral:rRNA from 1 species